ensembl:lncRNA
GGGAAACCACACUGUAAACACUUUUAUAAUCACGGGUUUCAGUGCUGAAAAGAUUUUUAUACACUGGUUUUCCCAUUCAAGCUAACUCGGAUGAGAAAACCUGCUAUGAGCUGUAGAGUACUCCAGUAAAGCAGCUGAACUCAAAAUGGUGUUCAAAGAGAGAGAAAAAACUACAGAAAGGGGAGGAAAAGUUCAUGAAAGUUUAUACAAACUGACUAAUGAAGACCUCAAGGAAGGAACAAGACAGCACCAGCAGAGCACAGUUAAACAGACUACUUUAUAUGUCUAUCUGUCUUUAUGUUAGUGUGAUUGGGAUUAGUGUGUGCGUGUAUGUUCAUAUUUUAGCAAGCUACAGAUGAUCCCACUGGGGGGUAAAAGUCAGUGUUAAUGGAGUCGAAAGCUAAAGAUCUUCAGUACUAACCAACGAUCGACUCUAUCAAGGCUUUUUUUUCCUAUGUUAAGUAUAAAACAAACCAAGCUCAAAUCAAAAGAUCAUUAAAAGCCCCAAACUGCACCAAAUGGCACCAAAUCUCUGGAAGGGUUUUAUAGAUUUAGGGUGUCCUUAGCUAACGUUACUUUCUUUGAGUUGAUCAAAAUCAAGAAUGUGAGGAUUUAUCAUUUUAGUAACUGGAACUGGAGCUUGUCUCGGUCAUGGUGUUUGUUAUAUUCUCGAUUGCUUGGUCCGAGAAAAAGUACAACUCUAGACUACUUUUGGCCACAUAAUUCUUGAUUAUUUUUGUCCACAUCUGAUCUAGAUGUUUUUUGCUUCUUUUUUUUUACAGAAUCAUGUUUUUUCCAGACCCCACCCAUAUUCUUAUUAGACUGUUAAUUGGUAGCUAAUUUCAUUUUGGCUACUAGAAGUGUCAGUGGUUCCUACCCAAAUUGUUCACAAGGCAGAAGUCGAUAAGCUAACCUUGUCUGCUAGAAAAUGUAUUUUAAAGAGCAAGAAAAAAUGAUGCUUUCAAAUAAGUCAGAUGUUUCAAAGCUAAAUUUAUUCUUUAGCAUUAAAGCUAACUUAAGCCUCACAUGCACCUCCAUAGAAUUGUAACUACACCUUGUGGCAACAUAGAUCUCUGAUCUUGCCAACGAAUAUGUGGCCAUAGAUUGUGGCUAAAUACAGAAAACUUGACAGUAGCUUGAAGUGUAUAUAUUUUAUUUAUAUUUCAACCAGGACAACUAUAGUCAGAAGACUGUUGUUUUAGUAAUUUCUGUUUGGAGGUAUGGUUCUAUUCUGGGCUAAUGUAGAAAGCACAAAGCAGGAAGACUCCUUUCACGUAAACUAUACUUCUGUUUCAGCUCUACGCCGUAACUUAUACCAUAACCAGACCCCAUUUUAACCCUAUGCCGCAACCUUCUAAGUAACAUGUCGUGCACUUCCCUAGAAAUGUAACUACAUGUCGGGCCAAUGCAUACCACAACAACUUGAUGGUGUGGAAGACCUCAGUGUAGGGAUACAAGGAUUUUCCAAUUACGUAGUUAGUUGGGAUGUUGAGAUUUCCCACAGUAGUCUAAAUGAAGUUUAAGAUUUCACAGAGCAGAAAUAACAACAAAUGUGAAAAGGAAGAGUUAGCUGGAUGUGGGGUUGGCUGCUUCCAAAAAACUGUCAUAAGGAUGUGUAGAAGGGUACUAGCUGAGACAUUAGCUUAUCCGCUGGGACUGUGGUGGAGCUUGACUUUGUCACCUAGCUGAACUUGGCCUUUGCUCCAUGUAUGCAGUUGUGGUCAGAAGUUUAUAUCCACUCAUCACAAAUAUCAUGAUCAUUUUGGGCUUCUAAUGAAUUCUUUGAAACUGUCUUUUUUCCAUGGUGAAAUGACUGUAUAGUAUACAUAUUUAAUGGCUUUAAAAACAAAAAAUUGGGCUUUAAAGUUUUAAAAAGUAUCUGGCAUAAUUCUGGCUGGAUAUUUGGCCACUCUUCUUGGCAUGCACUGAAAAUGUAAAAAGUAAAAGAAAAAAAUUCUAAGCUGAAAAAUAGCACGACAUUCAUGCCCAUGAUGAGUGUAUGUUAACAACUGGCCAAACCAAGUUCAUAAAGCAAGUUCUGUUUUGAAUACAUGUAAUUUUUUUUAAUGCAGCACAGGGUAACUGGUAAACGAAAUUAGUACUAUACUAUAUGACAUUUUUUUUCAGUUAAAACUAUAAUGUUAUGUUUUCCAAUAUUAAGUUAGUAUAGUUUUCAUUAGUUUCUUGGUGAAUCACCAGACAGUCAACUACUGUUACCAGUAUUAAUAACUGUGCCAAUUUUUAACAUACCUAAGAAAGUCAUUUCUUGUUUUGUUUGAUGUAAUUUGCACUUUCAGCACCACUGAGUUUUAAAUUAAUUAGUCUAGCCACUGUUUAACGAAGCCUCUAAUCUAUAAAGGCUUCACAUCUGUUCUUAGCCCAGAGUGAUAUCGUCACUCUCAAGAAAUCUCAAGAAAAUAGUUCUAACCCUGACUACUGAUGCCUGUGUAGGCAACUUGCCAGUCAAUGCUGCUGAAAGGACUGUAUUACAGCCGUUAUUUCUUCCACCAAGCCAUACACAACACCUGUGGGUAGGGGAAAACACUGCAACGCUUGCCAAACUUAGAAGUUCAAGAUAAAACUUGUGUAAUGUUGGUUUUUCUCAGAGGUCCUUUUGCAAUAUCUCCUUUAUUUAGUUGAAUGAAUAUGAAGAAAAACUUGUAGUUCUUGAACCUUUAACAACAACGGUAUUUUUCAUUAUUUGUGGAGCAUAAAUAUUGCUUUGUCAUAGUUUCAACAACCUUUCAUCAUUCUGCUCUGCCAGAGCCCAGCCCUGCCUAAGCUGUGUUCUUGCGUAGGUUAUUUAUUUUGUGUAUUUAAAAGUGUGUGAAAGUGUGCUUGUCUCAGUCUAUGCACAUGUAACACUGUAUGUGUUUAUCCUCCCCAUGGAGCACUUUGAUCAAAGUCGCGGGUAUAAAGAAAGGAUUUCCACUCUUCGUUACUGAAAUAUUCAACUUGUUUAUCCAGCCGUUUACCACUUCAGAAAGCAAUAGCUUUAGCAAAAGUACAAGGAAGGAACUGGGGCCAAGAGGUCAUAAGGAAAACACAUUUUACAUGGUACUUGACCAGCUUCAAGAAUGUCCUUGUUUCCAUGUUUUUUCGCUGACUUCAAACAGUAUUUAUAGUAGUGCUUUGAUGCUGUCAUGAUUAAUUGAUGAAGGAGUAUUUUGUAGUCCUUUUUCGAGCUCUAAUUCAGUGAAAUAGAGACAGCAUUUAAUAUCAAUGUGAAAUAUUUAUGGUGCGUUUGAGCUUGUUUAUACUGAGCGAUGGAAGCGACUGCCAAAUCUGGGUUUCAAGAAAAAUGAACAAAAAUAUGAUGGUGGUCGAAAGAAAAACACACGCCUUGGUUUAUGCCUGUUUUGCCCUAAAUUACACUGCAGACCCAGGCAAAAUGUGUGUUUGAAUCAAGAACAGAUUGAAGGACUGAUGAUACAAAUGGUUUCAAAUGUUCUCAAGAGCACUUAAGAGAAUCCGAGGCAUCCCCACUCUCCCAUUUUUGAUCUGAGUCAUUGACUUGUUUGUUGACAGAAAGGUAGGAAAAAGCACCUGAAGUUCCCCUUCUGUUAAGUCGUGUUUUUUCCCAUCCUAAGACCUUGGUUAUCCUUUUAGAGUACCAAAAUGUGUUGCGUCUAUGUGGAAGCAUUUUUUUCCUCUCUGAAGACUAAUAUCUUGUGUCUUGUUUCAAACUAAUUUUGCCUUGGUGUUACCUGCUGCUAUUUGUCUCAGUCCUUAACAGGCUUGUGUUCGUGGCAGUUCAAAAGCAUGCCAGGGGGAAACACUGCUGGUUAGGCUGAUCCUUUUUAUAUUAUUUUCUGGGUUUAGGUUUUUGUUUUUUGUUUUUUACUGCCUCCUCAAAGCCAAGGUGCAAAGGCAUGUAGCCAUGUCCUGAACCGAAUCCUUCAAUAUUUUAUCCUCAAACACCAUACAGGCUUCAACAAAGUCUAUUGUAUAGUAAAUAUUACAUUGCAUGGUUCCCAAAGUGAGUGUUUUACUGCCCUCCACCUUCGUAUCUCAUUUAUGACAACAUUAUACUCAAAUUUCUGUCCAGUGUGGGAAAAAUUAAUCAGAUAUUUUUUAUCGAGUUUAGUAGCACAAACUGGGAAUCCUUAUUUCUGCGAUGUUUCAUGGGAAUUUUUGUGUGUGAGUGUAGUACACCCCCACCCCCUCCCUACAGUGUCUUUUUAAUAUUGAGUUUUAUCCUUAGUAUCAACGAUGUAACUUCUUUUUCCCACUAUUGUGUUGGCUACUGUACAUUCUUCAACAUGUUUGUUAUUCUAGCCACGUUUUUCGGUUUCUUGACAUUUUAAUUGCACAAAAGAAGAAAAAGCUACUCUUAGCUACUCCCUUAUUCACAAGGGGUUGCCAUAGCGGGUAGCUCCACAUAUUCAGUUUGCUAGAUUUUUACGCCGGAUGCCCUUCCUGAUACAGCCCCGAAGGGAUUUGCGUCUCCUACCGGAAAUCAAACCAGGAAUCUUUCGCUUGUUAGGCGAAUGUAUAAACCACUAUACCAUUGUCCCUCAUAAAAGAAAGUCAUUCAUUUUCUGUAUUCAAAUCAUUGUAUCAGUAUAACUGUACAGAAUCUUUGGGAUUUCCUCCCAGAUUUAUCUAACACACUUCAACAACAAAUGUGAAUAAUAUUUUUAUAAAGCACCGAAAUGGCCGACUUGGUGAAUUUGUAAAUAAGGAGGCGAUGCUUUGAAUUUAUAUUGGUCUUCUCUCCUACUGCUUUUUUCUCCUGCUUAUAUCGACUUGUACAAAAAGAGCCGUACAUAUUUGCUUUAUGUAAGUGUACCCUUUUUACUAAUGGGUAUUUCAUUUUAAAAGUGCUUGUUGUUCCCUUCUCAUGUGAAACUCUGUUCAGUGGCCCUGCUUCAGACCUUUGUGGCUGUUCACGUGUAACGUUUCAGUUUAAGUGAACACUGUUAAACACUACACAAAUAACAAUGGGUGGUGUCUCACUUUGAAUACUUCCAUAAUAGUAGCAUAUUAGCUUGAUAGUGUAGUGUUGUCUGAAAUCAGGCACGACAAGAGGCUGGACUAUUGGAGCAUUUUACCAUGGCUGUUAUGUUAGCUGGCACAUUUUGUUCAUGUUUACAUUUGUCAAGUUACUUACUAAAUGUAAUACUAAAUUCUUCUGAAGUAAUGUAAACACAGCAACAUCAGUCCCAGAUUGAAAAAUCUCUUGCUUUUAGCUUUCCAGAUAGCUAGCAAUAACAAGGAUUGUUGCGCUAGCUGCAACAUUUUAUAAACAUAUGACAAAAUGAGCUUCUUACCAUGUAUAACACUUUUCUGUCAUUGCAGAUGUAAGUUUAACAUGCAUAAAUAUCAGUCGAUGCCAUAAUGCGUGAAAUAUCAAUCCCGGGUUGCUAAGCAUCUGCUGGCGGUAGCUAGCUAGAUAGCGCAGACUGCAAGUCUCACACUAGAUGGCGCAUUUAGUGAAUUUAUCAAGUUGUUGAGCCUCUGGUCAGAUAUCUUACACUAAAAUCUCUAUGAAGUCACAGAAAACUACCAGACAAUACCACAGUGCAGACAACAUGCCAACAACACAAAAACAACUAACUAGCUAGUAUUAGCUCAAUAUCUGGCUCUAAUUUGAAGAUCAGCUGUUAAUGCCUUAGUUUCCACUACUUAAGGCCAAAGUCAGACAGGCUGUGCGACGGGUUCAUCAUUCUCCUUGCAAUAUCUGAUCACUAAGGAAAGAUGUAUGGUCCCCCACCAGUUAACAAGUGGUUGCUGGAGAUUGCUGUCUGUCACAAAUGGGGUGCUGCAUCAGACAGCCUCCUUGGGAUCGUUUUGUUUGCUUGCAUAUUGUUGCUUUUGCCUGUAGUUUGCAUGAAAAGCAGCCACUUUUCAACUAUGCUCUCUGUAACUCGAAACAGAGAACAUUCACCUUCAAAAUAAAAGCAGUGCCUUAUCAUUGGAACUAAGACAUUUCAAAAGGUGCAACUUUUACAAUUAAGGUGAAUAUUUGCCAAUUGUGCCACACUUUUGACAGUUUCACUACAGCUUAAUGAGUAGUUUGCGAGCAUUUGCAGGCAAGUUGGACGCUUCCAUGCAAACUGGAGACUGUGCCAGUCUAACAGUGGCUAAAACAAUCAUAAGUAGAUUUUUGGUACAACUCUGUAUGCCUGUUGGCAACCAAUGUCAUACUAGCAACCGCCAACAACCUCCAGCAGCCAUUUGCAUACUGUUUGUGGAAUAUACACUCUUUUGCCAUGGUGUUCACUAGCUGUUAGGGUAACCCCACUCACUCUAGGCCUAAGUGAGUGAAGGUUUUAGCAAUCAAUUUCACAGUCAUUGCUCGCAACAACCAGCAACCACUCAUCAACCAGUUGGGCGAUGAACAUUUUUCCCUAGCAACCGGUCAUAAUCAGAUUAUUCCCAGCUGGUCUCUAAGCCUGGGUGAAUAGGUCCUGAGCAACAUUCAGAAUAGUGCAUGUGUCAGAGAUUUACAGUUAACAAACAGUCAGGUGAAUGAUCAACACUAUUCACAAAAUAACGGUAGGGGUGGCAGUACGCAAACUGAGACACAUCUGAUUUACUUUUCCAAUGCCUACCAUGUCAGUCAACCAAGAGAACUCAAUGCCAUCUUUCUAAAUGUCAUAAAACUGAAACCUGUGGUCCCAACUAACCUAUAUAAACUGUGUUUGAGAGUCAGUGUUACCUUCUCUGCUUACUUUCAACUCGAAAUAUUACUGAGCCAAGUCCACCCUCUUACUCCUCUUUUCUGCACAGCCUUCACAAUAGGCCCUGAUUUCAUUUAAUUUGUUUUGCAUGCUUUCAAAAGGAGACAUAGUGGAGAGAAGGCGUCAUCGCUUGCUCCUCUUUGCGUACUGUUGGUUUUCAAUACUUUCCCCUUGUCCCUUUACCCAACACCGUCAUUGCUGACUUUCUCUUUGAGUACUUUGAAACCAUACCCAAAGCUUUAUAUCAUAGAAAUACCGUUCCUCAUGUUUGUUACAUGAAUCUGUCAAAAGUAUAUUUUUAAUUUAAUAUAAAUAAAGAUUGAUUCGAUAUAUGGUGUGGUCGUUUGUGCACGUGUGUUUAGUAAGUGUUGGGGGGGCUUUCUUUACUUGAUAUGUACUUGGGAAAGCACCACUUUAAAGUUUUUAUUCUUGUUAUGAGUUGUGUAUCUUCAAAAUCAGCCAAAUCAGGGAUU